CCGGAUUUAUUGGGCGUAAAGCGAGCGCAGGCGGUUAGAUAAGUCUGAAGUUAAAGGCUGUGGCUUAACCAUAGUACGCUUUGGAAACUGUUUAACUUGAGUGCAAGAGGGGAGAGUGGAAUCCAUGUGUAGCGGUGAAAUGCGUAGAUAUAUGGAGGAACACCGGUGGCGAAAGCGGCUCUCUGGCUUGUAACUGACGCUGAGGCUCGAAAGCGUGGGGAGCAAACAGGAUUAGAUACCCUGGUAGUCAAGGGCGAAUUCGC
rnacentral:rRNA from 1 species